UACGGAAGGCAGCAGUGGGGAAUAUUGCACAAUGGGCGCAAGCCUGAUGCAGCCAUGCCGCGUGUAUGAAAAAGGCCUUCGGGUUGUAAAGUACUUUCAGUCGUGAGGAAGGUGUUAAGGUUAAUAACCUUAGCAAUUGACGUUAGCGACAGAAGAAGCACCGGCUAACUCCGUGCCAGCAGCCGCGGUAAUACGGAGGGUGCGAGCGUUAAUCGGAAUUACUGGGCGUAAAGGGUCACGCAGGCGGUUAAUUAAGUUGGAUGUGAAAUCCCCGGGCUUAACCUGGGAAUGGCAUUCAAGACUGGUUAGCUAGAGUCUUGUAGAGGGGGUUAGAAUUCCGAUGUGUAGCGGUGAAAUGCGUAGAGAUGUGGAGGAAUACCGGUGGCGAAGGCGGCCCCUGGACAAAGACUGACGCUCAUGUGCGAAAGCGUGGGGAGCGAAACAGGGAUUAGAUACCCGUCUGGAGGAACUAACCAAGGGCACGGACAAGGGGAAUAAGG
rnacentral:rRNA from 1 species